GACGAACGCUGGCGGCGUGCUUAACACAUGCAAGUCGAACGGAAAGGCCCUGCUUUUGUGGGGUGCUCGAGUGGCGAACGGGUGAGUAACACGUGAGUAACCUGCCCUUGACUUUGGGAUAACUUCAGGAAACUGGGGCUAAUACCGGAUAGGAGCUCCUGCUGCAUGGUGGGGGUUGGAAAGUUUCGGCGGUUGGGGAUGGACUCGCGGCUUAUCAGCUUGUUGGUGGGGUAGUGGCUUACCAAGGCUUUGACGGGUAGCCGGCCUGAGAGGGUGACCGGCCACAUUGGGACUGAGAUACGGCCCAGACUCCUACGGGAGGCAGCAGUGGGGAAUAUUGCACAAUGGGCGGAAGCCUGAUGCAGCAACGCCGCGUGCGGGAUGACGGCCU
rnacentral:rRNA from 1 species